rnacentral:rRNA from 1 species
CAGGCUUAACACAUGCAAGUCGAGGGGCAGCAUUUUAGUUUGCUUGCAAACUGAAGAUGGCGACCGGCGCACGGGUGAGUAACACGUAUCCAACCUGCCGAUAACUCCGGAAUAGCCUUUCGAAAGAAAGAUUAAUACCGGAUAGCAUACGAAUAUCGCAUGAUAUUUUUAUUAAAGAAUUUCGGUUAUCGAUGGGGAUGCGUUCCAUUAGUUUGUUGGCGGGGUAACGGCCCACCAAGACUACGAUGGAUAGGGGUUCUGAGAGGAAGGUCCCCCACAUUGGAACUGAGACACGGUCCAAACUCCUACGGGAGGCAGCAGUGAGGAAUAUUGGUCAAUGGGCGAGAGCCUGAACCAGCCAAGUAGCGUGAAGGAUGAAGGCUCUAUGGGUCGUAAACUUCUUUUAUAUGGGAAUAAAGUUUUCCACGUGUGGAAUUUUGUAUGUACCAUAUGAAUAAGGAUCGGCUAACUCCGUGCCAGCAGCCGCGGUAAUACGGAGGAUCCGAGCGUUAUCCGGAUUUAUUGGGUUUAAAGGGAGCGUAGGUGGAUUGUUAAGUCAGUUGUGAAAGUUUGCGGCUCAACCGUAAAAUUGCAGUUGAAACUGGCAGUCUUGAGUACAGUAGAGGUGGGCGGAAUUCGUGGUGUAGCGGUGAAAUGCUUAGAUAUCACGAAGAACUCCGAUUGCGAAGGCAGCUCACUAGACUGUCACUGACACUGAUGCUCGAAAGUGUGGGUAUCAAACAGGAUUAGAUACCCUGGUAGUCCACACAGUAAACGAUGAAUACUCGCUGUUUGCGAUAUACAGUAAGCGGCCAAGCGAAAGCAUUAAGUAUUCCACCUGGGGAGUACGCCGGCAACGGUGAAACUCAAAGGAAUUGACGGGGGCCCGCACAAGCGGAGGAACAUGUGGUUUAAUUCGAUGAUACGCGAGGAACCUUACCCGGGCUUAAAUUGCAACAGAAUAUAUUGGAAACAGUAUAGCCGUAAGGCUGUUGUGAAGGUGCUGCAUGGUUGUCGUCAGCUCGUGCCGUGAGGUGUCGGCUUAAGUGCCAUAACGAGCGCAACCCUUAUCUUUAGUUACUAACAGGUCAUGCUGAGGACUCUAGAGAGACUGCCGUCGUAAGAUGUGAGGAAGGUGGGGAUGACGUCAAAUCAGCACGGCCCUUACGUCCGGGGCUACACACGUGUUACAAUGGGGGGUACAGAAGGCGGCUACCUGGUGACAGGAUGCUAAUCCCAAAAACCUCUCUCAGUUCGGAUCGAAGUCUGCAACCCGACUUCGUGAAGCUGGAUUCGCUAGUAAUCGCGCAUCAGCCAUGGCGCGGUGAAUACGUUCCCGGGCCUUGUACACACCGCCCGUCAAGCCAUGAAAGCCGGGGGUACCUGAAGUACGUAACCGCAAGGAGCGUCCUAGGGUAAAACUGGUAAUUG